AUUGAACGCUGGCGGCAGGCCUUACACAUGCAAGUCGAGCGGGGCGGCGGACGGGUGAGUAAUGCCUAGGAAUCUGCCUGUUAGUGGGGGAUAACGUUCGGUAACGGGCGCUAAUACCGCUUCCUAUCAGAUUAGCCUAGGUGGGAGUAGCUAGUUGGUUGGGUAAAGGCCUACCAAGGCGACGAUCCGUAACUGGUCUGAGAGGAUGAUCAGUCACACUGGAACUGAGACACGGUCCAGACUCCUACGGGAGGCAGCAGUGGGGAAUAUUGGACAAUGGGCGAAAGCCUGAUCCAGCCAUGCCGCGUGUGUGAAGAAGGUCUUCGGGUUGUAAAGUACUUUCAGCGGGGAGGCGUUACCCGCAGAAGAAGCACCGGCUAACUCCGUGCCAGCAGCCGCGGUAAUAC
rnacentral:rRNA from 1 species